rnacentral:lncRNA from 1 species
AGAUUUUUUAAAAUUACUUAAAAGAUGUUUAUAAAUAACUUUUGUAUUAUUUUUGGAUUGUAAAUUGAACCUCAAGGUAAGAUCAAAUUCUUCUACAAUAAGUUGCCUAAGGCAUUCAUAGGCUAAUUUUUACAUAAUACAACAAUGUUUGGCUUCUUGAAGAAGCAAAGUGUAUAUCUUAAGUUAGGCUUUAAAAUGUAGUGAUUAUAUUAAAUUCGAUUUGAACAUUUAAAAUACUUCUACAAGUAUUAUAUUUUAAAUUUUAUAUAAUUCUUGAUAUAAAUUUAAUAU